rnacentral:misc_RNA from 1 species
GAUGAAGAACGCAGUGAAAUGCGAUACUUGGUGUGAAUUGCAGAAUCCCGUGAACCAUCGAGUCUUUGAACGCAAGUUGCGCCUCAAGCCAUUAGGUUGAGGGCACGUCUGCCUGGGCGUCACAUAUCGUUGCCUGAUGCCAGUUUCCUCGUGAUGGGUGACUGUGCAGGGCGAAUGAUGGCUUCCCGUGAGCAUUGUUGCCUCAUGGUUGGUUGAAAAUUGAGUCCUUGGUAGGGAGCGCCGUGAUAGAUGGUGGUUGAGUGACGAACGAGACCCAAUCAUGUGAGACCCCUACCGAAUUUGGCCUUCAUGACCCACAUGCGUCUUUGGAACGCUCAUGACGAGACCUCAGGUCAGGCGGGGCUACCCGCUGAGUUUAAGCAUAUCAAUAGCGGAGGA